AAUAGUCUAACGGCUGAACCAGCAAUUUGGAGGAACGUAAGGGAAAAGGGUGUGUUAUAAAUACACUUUUUUCUAGUGGUUUAUCCGCAUAAAGUUCUAGAUAAAGACUGAUAAUGACAAUCUUUCAUCUAUAAGUCUUGACAAAAUCACGUGCCAGCAGUCGCGGUAAUACGGGAAAGACGAGUGUUAUUCAUCUUUAAUGGGUUUAAAGGGUACCUAGACAGCUUAUUUAACUCGAAAGGGCACACAUAAGCUAGAGUUUAAUGUAAGAGGUAUGUCAGUACUAUCGGUGUAGAGAUAAAAUUCUGUAAUACUGUGGGGCACUGGUAACGGCGAAGGCAAACCUUUAUGUAAAAACUGACGUUGAGGGACGAAGGCUUGGGUAACAAACAGGAUUAGAUACCCUAAUAGUCCAGGCAGAAAAUGAUGAGUGCCAUAGGUUAGAUAUAUUUUGAUCUAUAAAUGAAAGUGUAAGCAUUCCACCUCAAGAGUAAUGUGGCAACGCAGGAACUGAAAUCAUUAGACCGUUUCUGAAACCAGUAGUGAAGUAUGUUGUUUAAUUCGAUGAUCCGCGAAUAAUCUUACCACAGUUUGUAUAUUAUACUAAUUUGUAUUUCUCUAUUAAAAUAUAAUAAUUAGAAAUAUAAGUUGCUUUUAAUACAGGUGCUGCAUGGCUGUCUUUAGUUAAUGUCGUGAGACGCAGGUUAGAUCCAGAAAUUAACGUAAACCCUUGCAUCAUUUAUAAAUGAUGUAGUUCCCCGCUAUAUUGGAAAGACAAUAGGGAUCAAGACAAGUACUCAUGGUCCUAAUACUGUGGGCUAUAGACGUGCCACAUUUGCCUAAUACAAAAAGAUGCAAAGAUGCAAAUAGUAAGCUAAUCUUUAAAAUAGGUAAUAAAAU
rnacentral:rRNA from 1 species